AGAUCGUAGACUACAUUGCGGAUCAGAAGGACGUAUAUGAAUAAAGACAUCUCUCUGGAAACCUCUUCUGCCACGAGGACUGGGAUGAUGCCAGCAGGUGUACGAAUGUAAGCGCACAUUUCAGUACCGUGGCUGCUUUCAUCGGAAUAGUUCUGUUGGACGUUGUAUUUAAAGCUGUUGAUGUGUUGGCCUUUCAAAAAUAAAUAUGUAAGACCA